ACCAUCCUUUUCUGUGGUUUGCACUACUGUCCAAUGAACAGAUAGUUGGGACAGUACUACUAACACCUACACAACACGUUCACAUCAACUAGAGCUCCGCUUUAUAUUGGUGCAAUUUUGGGAAAA
ensembl:snRNA